CAUAGUAAGGCCCAUCAAAAUACCUUUAUUGAAUGGCAGUAAGUAGUACAUUGCUUUCAAUGAUGAUUUCACAAGAUUUUGUUGGAUUUAUUUCAUGAAGUUUAAAUAUGAAGUUGCUGACAUUUUUUGGAAGUUUAAAGCUUAUGUGGAAACUCAAAGUGGUUGCAAGAUGCAGGUGAUCAGGUUUGAUAAUGGAACUGAAUAUACUUCUGAAAAGUUUAACAAAUUUUGUCAAGAUGCAGGCAUCGAGCAUCACAAACACGUUAGUUUAUCUACUCAACAGACUUCCAACCAAAGUUUUGCAAAAAGGA